UCAUCAUUCUGUUGUUGCUGAUAUGCUUGUUGUUGGUAACUUCAUGCUUAUGUAUAAACCACUUCUCCAAUGACAAUUAUUUAGUUGAAAGGAAGAGCAUGUAUUGUGGUUGUCUUUGUGGGGAACUAGGGUUUAUAAAUUGGAAACUUCAGCUGCAAACCAGUCAAUUCUUUGUCAGUCACCGAGCAUCUACCUAAGAAUAAUUUGUCACACCAUUUAUAUCUUCUGUGCUUUUCUCUGAACAAUUUACACAUUUUAAGUCAGGGAAUUGUAAAUCACAGUAGAGAAUGUAAAUUCGCAAAGUUGAGUUGGGUCCUUUUUGCAAUAGUUUAAACUAGAACUAAAUACUUAAUAUUCCACUUUCAAACUCUAGAAAAUAAUUAAAAUGCAUUGGUUCUUACAGAUACAGUAUACUUUUCCUUUCCUCAAUAUUUCUUGUGAUUGUAAGUAGGAAAAUUCCAAACAUAGUUUGAACUUGAGCAAUGAACACCGAAGCCUCUUAGAAGACAUAAAAUUGUCUUAAAUUACCAAAAACACCUCUUAAAAUUGAAGGAAUCACAAAAUAUACAGUUCUACCACUAUUCAAAUUGCACUCAUAAUUUGUUUGGAAUCCCCAAAUUGAAAUUUCUUUGAACUUAAGGCCCUAUUUAGCUCUGGGUUAAAGGAAAGGUAAAUAAUUAUUUAGUUCUUAAACUCCAACGUCUUUUGUUGCUCUUUUUUUUUUUUAACAAAGUUUUAAUCCAUCACUCUGAGUAUCAAAACAAUCAGUAAUUUUAUGUCGUCAUUAAAAUCCCAUCUAAAUAUUCCAAAAACAUAAACUCUACGUUCAAGUUUUGUGGAGUCAAAACUUAAAUGGCACUUAAGGUUCAACUUAAAGUCUUAAACCAAAUUUUCCACCUCAAAACCCUAGCUUGGUGCGGCACCAGUGCUUGUGCUUUGCAUUGUACCUGAUUGUCUAUCUGCUCUCAUGUGGAUCUUAUGAGGGAUGGCUUGUUUCCGGAAGAUAGGAAUUCCGAUGCCGGGGUCUAGCCGGGUAUUAUAGUGUCAGAUCCGGGCAAGGUUCUUAAUGAGCCUGAUGUGGAGAUCCUAGGAGAUCUCACUUAUGUUAAGCAGCCAGUGCGGAUCAUAGACACGCAGAUCAGGAAGCUGAGAAACAAGAAACAAGAAACAAGGAAAUCCCGAUGGUGAAAGUCCUUUGGGAUCACCAUAAUAUGGAAGAGUGCACCUGGGAGACACGGGAGUCCAUGCUCUAGCAAUACCCUUAUCUAUCAAGCUACUAAAUUUUGCCUAUAAAACUGUAGUCUUGAAAUGUUCCUGUUGUUUUCUUUUUCUAAUUUACUAUGUUGUUUGGUUUAUGUUUGUACAAUAUGGUAAUGUGAACAAAUAGGGGGUUUGAACAAGAAUAAUAAGGGAUUAAAUAGGUAGUGGUAUUUUGGGGAUGAAUGAAUAUGUUUUGUGAAGAAAGGUUAGUUUUGGAAGAAAAAUUAGUUGUCUCUCAUUUGACCUUAUCCAUUGUCAUUGACUAAUGGAAAUUUAGAGUUAAUUUUGUAUCGACGGCUUGGGAGAUUAACAGAAUUAAACAUGAUGUAUUUACUAAUUGAGUUUUGAAAAUAAAGGGACCAAUUAAUUAUAUUGGCAAACCUAGAGACUAAUAAUUAUUUACCCUUAAGGGAAUAUACUAAUAGCAUUGGAAAAUAUAGAAUUGAUUUUAUGUGAUCUUUGUGAUUUUACUUUGGUUUGAGGAAGUAUCAAGCAUGAAUACAAGGUUGGUGGCAUCAACUAAAGCAUUGGAUCAUCUUUUGCCUUUAUUUUGUUUCUUUAAUAGUAAUCCUGCUGGAGUUUUCUUUCUUUAUUAACUUUUAGCAAGUUGAACUGACCAUUAGAUAUCCUAUUAUUCCUCUUUAAUCAAAUACUCAAAAUUGCAUGAAGCUAACCACAUUUCUGUAACCUUGAGCCCUCCUUUUUAUUUGUCUUGAAAGUCCUCAAAAUUCAUAAGCAACAAAUAUGAAAAAGUGGUCAAGAAAACUCGGUGCUUCUCAAAAGUCCAAACUUUGAAAAACUAGUUCAACAAGCUAGUUUCUUUGGCUGGAAGGAUUUGAGACAAACAUCAGGAGAGUAUAUGAAAGGUUUUUGAUGAAUUGUAGAAGGUUUCUUCUUGGUAUAUAUUCUUUAUAAUGGAUAAUGAAGUCAAGAAGUGGGUAGGGAUAUAGUACAUUCCUCACCUUGAGUUGGUUGUCUAGCACACUUCUAUUAAGUUGGAAAUGUCAUUGCAAACAACCACUUAGAAACGGUCAAAGUUGUGGCUUUGCUUAAUCCUGCUGGAGUUUUCUUUCUUUAUUAACUUUUAGCAAGUUGAACUUGACCAUUAGAUAUCCUAUUAUUCCUCUUUAAUCAAAUAUUCAAAAUUGUAUGAAGCUAACCACAUUUCUGUAACCUUGAACCCUCCUUUUUUUUUCUUGAAAGUCCUCAAAAUUCAUAAGCAACAAAUAUGAAAAAGUGGUCAAGAAAACUUGGUGCUUCUCAAAAGUUCAAACUUUGAAAAACUAGUUCAACAAGCUAGUUUCUUUGGCUGGAAGGAUUUGAAACAAACAGCGGGAGAGUAUAUGAAAGGUUUUUGAUAAAUUGUAGAAGGUUACUUCUUGGUAUAUAUUCUUUAUAAUGGAUAAUGAAGUCAAGAAGUGGGUAGGGAUAUAGUACAUUCCUCAC
rnacentral:lncRNA from 1 species